GAUGAACGCUGGCGGCGUGCCUAAUACAUGCAAGUCGAGCGAACAGACGAGGAGCUUGCUCCUCUGACGUUAGCGGCGGGCGGGUGAGUAACACGUGGAUAACCUACCUAUAAGACUGGGAUAACUUCGGGAAACCGGAGCUAAUACCGGAUAAUAUAUUGAACCGCAUGGUUCAAUAGUUAAAGACGGUUUUGCUGUCACUUAUAGAUGGAUCCGCGCCGCAUUAGCUAGUUGGUAAGGUAACGGCUUACCAAGGCGACGAUGCGUAGCCGACCUGAGAGGGUGAUCGGCCACACUGGAACUGAGACACGGUCCAGACUCCUACGGGAGGCAGCAGUAGGGAAUCUUCCGCAAUGGGCGAAAGCCUGACGGAGCAACGCCGCGUGAGUGAUGAAGGUCUUCGGAUCGUAAAACUCUGUUAUUAGGGAAGAACAAAUGUGUAAGUAACUAUGCACGUCUUGACGAUACCUAAUCAGAAAGCCACGGCUAACUACGUG
rnacentral:rRNA from 1 species